AUUCCAGGUCAGCUUGGCUGUGGUCUUAGAGGCAGGGAGUGCCUACCCAGUCCUGCCUCAGGAGCAGGAUGGAGUUUCACUCUUUCACCCAGGCUGGAGUGCAAUGGCACGAUCUCGGCUCACUGCAGCCUCUGCCUUCCAGUUUCAAGCGAUUCUCCUGCCUCAGCCUCCCAAGUAGCUGGGAUUACAGGCGCCCGCCACCAUGCCGGCUAAUUUUUGUAUUUUUGAUAGAGACGGGGUUUCACCAUGUUGUCCAGGCUGGUCUUGAACUCCUGACCUUGUGAUCCACCUGCCUCAGCUCCCCAAAAUGCUAGGAUUACAAGCAAGAGCCACCGUGCCCAGCCCACCAUCUCCAUUUUGCAAAGGAGGAAACUGAGACACAGUGACACCAAGGAUGACAACUGGAGUAAACCAUGGAGGCAGGAUUCUCACCCUAACAGAUACCUCAACAGGCCAAAUUUAAGUACUUGUGGAAGGAAAACUACCAUGUCUUGAGCACCUAGCGUACUUCAGGCACCAUGUUAGGUACUUUGUAUGGGUUAACUAAUUUGGUCAUCGUAAGUCCUUGUGAAGGGGGCACUGUAAGUCCUGUGUUACAAAUGCAACAACUUAGAUGGAGAGAAGUUAAGUAAUGUGUCUCUCUUUGCCCAGCUUGUAAGUGGCAGAGCUGGGACUUAAACCCAGAGGAGACAUACACAUGACUGUGUUGUGUUGUCAAUUUUUAAAAGUUACAUUACUUAAUUGAUUGGUUAAUUCUUUUAACGUGUGAUGUUUGAAAUGUGUAGGCAUCUAAGACAGUAUGUGGGCAGGGGGUGGGCAGGGAGACACACAAAGAUGACUCUGACCUGGCUACUAGCAGGCAUAAGCCGUAAGUAAAUGACUACAGUGCAAGGAGGAAUGGGAGGAGUGCCGCUCAGGCUGGAGAGCAUUCUGGGGUGCUGGGGAUGGCAGAGGGUACUUGUGUCUGCUGCUUUUACCUUCUGCACCCUGGGGAGGGUGGUUCAGAAGUCAGCCUGCCCCAACGCAAAGCCCAGGCUGCAGAUGCUUUGACCCAAUUCUGCUCAAGCUGUUGGUCAUCUCCUUCCAACACUCAAGAGACUGGCUUUUGUCCCUGGAUGGAUCAUCUCUGCUCUGAUGAUUCUGGCAUCCAUGUGAGAACCAGCAGGGGAACAGCUAUGCAACAGAGGCCUCUGGAACCUCACGCUCUUUAGAUGUUAAAUUGAAAUCAGGUGCUUUAUGACUCGUCUGUAUUCAGGAGCCCAUCAACGCUGCAUGGGAACUGCUGUGGAUUCAAAAGGAACACCAGUGUCAUCCCUGCAUGGCCCUUUACUCCACUGUGCUCCAUGUUCUCCUCACUCCCUCCCAAGGGAGUUUUCUCCCAUCUGCAGACCCUGCUGGGUGGGGCAGAAAGAGCACUGGGUUUGGACUCAGAAGAUCCAGGCCCACUAUCUGGUCUGUCACUCAGCAGCAUGACUGUCACGAAGGCUCUCCUAGGCCUCAGUCUUCUGAGCAGUAAAAUGGGAUAAUAAUGCCUUCUUGCAGAGCUGCCAUGUGGGUUACAUGAGAAGUAUGUGGAACGGUAGGUGUCACACUUACUGCAAUUUCCAGGCCUCACGGACUGGCAUACAGCUAUGGCCAAGUCAUUCCCACCCUUCAAUCCUCUGUGAAGGGCUUCCUGACUGUUCCAGCCUGCCUGACUUCUGGAGGGAUGUAGGACUGACCCGAAGUAUUUGGCCAACCACGGGGAGGGGCAGAGGGGGCAGACACUGGGUGAAUCUGGGCUUUGGGCUGUGUGGGGCUAGUGGGCUCCUCCAGUGUACAAUUCUUGAGAGGCUUCCCAGUACUGGUAGAAUACCACCCAAACCUCUAAUGUGCUCCACACAGUCCUGCAUCCUCUGGCCUCUGACUCCCCAGCUUCAUCUCACACCACACUCCCCCAUGCUCUCAGUGUUCCACUGCAAACAGCUUUCCACCCCCAAUAGCUUUCCUUAUGGUCCUCCAACAUGCCAGGCUCUUCCCUGCCUCAGAGCCUCGGCAGACACUGUCUGGAAGGUACUUUUUCCCACUGCUCCCUUGGGCAACUGAGUAAUCCUUAGGUCUAAACCCAAGUGUCACUUCCUCUGGGAUACCUCCCCUGAUCCAUGCACCACCUCCUCCCACGCUGAACGAAACUAGGUCUCUGCUAUAGAACUGCAUCUUCUCCUGAUUCAUAGAACUUAUCACCAUUUGUAAUUAUAUACAUGUGAACCUAUUUAUGAUUUAAUGUGUCUCUCUUCGUGUGGAUUGGAACACCUUAACUGAUCACUGCUACUGACGAGGAUCCACCACAGCCUCGGAUAUAGUGGUAUUCCAUCAGCGUGUAUGAAGAGUGAAUGUCUACAUGAAACAGGUAGCGACAAGGGGCAAGAGGAUGGAGGAGAGUGGGAAGGGAGUGGUGGCAGUGAUGUGCCUGAGAGGUACCACGGUGGGCAGCAGGGAAAAAGCAGAGGGCUCUAGGAAGUGAAAGAAUGGGUCAGGAGGAAGACCUGAGAGUGGGCUGUUUGCAUUUAAGAUUUCAGAGGGGCAGCCAUGAAGCAUGGCCUGUUUUGAGGCUCCUAGGAAGGGGAAGAUGCAGCCUUGUGAUGGAGUUUUGUACAGUUAGGGCAUCCAGAGUGCCCUGGGACUGGGAACUGGCAAGGAAAUAAGAGAGAGCUCUGGAAUGGGGGGUGAGGGGGAGGGUACCGAUGGUGCCUAUGUCCCUGUGUUAUGGGGUGGCCCUGCACUCCAGAUGUCACCAGUAUCCCUUGGACUCAGUAGGAGGGAGCUCUCUCCAGGGAAAAGGGAACUCUGUUAACAUAACCGCGGUGGGGGUUAAAGAGCAGCUUUCCCUCAGUGGUACAGAGCCCUGUGGCUGGCAGCGCUGCACAGACUCCUCGAGACUCAGCUCCCACUGUCCCUGAGCCACACUGGGGCUCUUCGCCCUCCUGGCAGCAAUUAUAAAGUUGAACAGCAGAGGCAGGGGAGGAUCGAAAGCCAAACAGGAAGCCAAUAAUUGCCUCUUGCAGAAAUAGCUCUUUCAAAAUAAAAGUGAGGUCCUGAGGUUCCUACCCAGGUCAGUUAUACAAUGCUGCUCCUGUCCUCCCAGAGCCCUGUAAUCUUCUUCCCAGUGUCUACUUUCUGGCCCUGAACUCCAGUACAGGUCAAAAGAUGUCCAUGUG
rnacentral:lncRNA from 1 species